rnacentral:rRNA from 1 species
CCUACGGGUGGCAGCAGUGAGGAAUAUUGGUCAAUGGGCGGGAGGCUGAACCAGCCAAGCCGCGUGAGGGAAGAAGGCGCAGAGCGUCGCAGACCUCUUUUGCCGGGGGACAAAAGGCCGGACUCGUCCGGUCCUGAGGGUACCCGGAGAAAAAGCAUCGGCUAACUCCGUGCCAGCAGCCGCGGUAAUACGGAGGAUGCGAGCGUUAUCCGGAUUCAUUGGGUUUAAAGGGUGCGCAGGCGGGCCAUUAAGGCGGUGGUGAAAUUGGGGGGCUCAACCCCGCCGAGCCGUUGGGACUGGGGUGCCUGGAGGGCGGCGGAGGCAGGCGGAAUGCGGGGUG